CUGUGUUGGUAAAGAUGAAGAUGUCAGUCAAUGAAAUUUGCUAUAUUUAUUGUGUCUAACCAACCCUGUACGGAUCGAACUGACGAUUCCCGAGUGCCACAAAUGUCCUGAAGUCUGCUCCUAUUAGCUAGGUAUCUAGAAAUCUCAACUUCAGUGUCAAGUGAAGACUUUGCCAGUUGCAGACGAGGGAAUUCUCGCUUCACGAUUUUCCUUGUGUGUGGAGAUACGUUGGAAUGCCGACCCACCACACCCGACAUGAUGCUUUGGCAGGAAUGCAGAAAGGAUCCUAUGUAGUGCCUACUUAGCAUUACAUCCAUUGCGUAGCAGCAAUGUGCCAUCCUUCUGCGACUUGGGUGGAAUGACGUGCAAGUGGUGCUCCAGGGCCAACUUCAAUUUGCCGAGCACGUAUGCCGCUGGCUUGGGGUCAGCAGUUGGGUGCACAGUCUCUGUAUACAAAUCGUGCACUGUCGUCAACAAUAUGGCACCCUUGUCCAGCAAUUCAUGUGCUUCAGCGGCAAUGACUAUAUUGGGAAGAUCACUCUCGGCACCUUCCGUGCUGUAUUGAGAGAUGAUGCUUCGCAAUUGGUGGUAUGUGCUUGGUGCACUGUCGGCAGGGAGCAUGUCAAUUUGCUUUUGGUAGCAGCGUCUACAAAAUCGACUCUCGUCUGAAAUCCUGACGUUUUGCAUGCUGCGCAACACAUGCUCUGCAAGUUGAAAGUUUGGUGACUUCCACCUGUCCUGUGUUCUGGUGUGAGCCUCGACUUACACCAAGCACAUGUUGCAUGGCCCACACACUGCUGGUAACUUAUGGUCCGGGCACUGGACCGGUUCGCACUGUUCUUUCAGACUGUGCACGUGCAGUUUGUCUGCAGGACAGUGUACUGAAGCCGCUGCGCUGCAAUCAUGUACAUUGCAUGUACUUUGGCAGACUGGUGGCUUAUUUUCUUUCGCUGCUGUGCAUACUUGGCGUCGUAGUGCUUUGACGCACUUCCAACAAAUGCAUUGGUCUGACGUGAUGGAUGUGCAUGUGUGUAGCUUUUGCCAAUCUGA